CCAAUUUUUAAUUUUUUUUUCAUUUAUUUCCCCAUCACAGAAAAAAAACUACAAAAACCUCUGAAACCCUUCCCCUCUCCGGCCUGGGCUUCGACCAGUAGCCACCCGCGGCCGGCGCCGCCGUGCACGGUGGCCGGCAAGAGUAAAAAGGGUCCCUUUUUUAGACCCUAACCCUCUGAGCCCGGAUCUAGUCUCAAAACAACCAAAAAGCAAGAAAAAGGGGGCGUUCACGUUCUCAACGAUCCAUUUUGGCACCGGAAAAGAAGUCUCCGACGACAGACGCGAAUCGACUCCGGGAGUCAGAGGGCAGGUAUGGCAGCAGCGUACGGCGCACAUGGGAGCAGCAAGGGAUGCGGCGCCCUAGGGUUGGGGAUUAGGCUUUUUUGCUGAAACGUUUUAGGUGAUUGGGCCAUUGGGCUAGCUGUUUUUGGGUUUAAUUGAGUUUGUUGGGCUGGGGCAAAUUUGGGCUUUGUACAAUAUGAGUCGGUAAUGAAUUAAUUUAAUUGGUAAUACAUGACUUAAUUUUAGCCAGAAGUAGAAAUAAUAUCCGCUUAUUUUGAAGAUGUUUUAUUUUUUACAAGAGUUAUUACUCAUCUUCCUAAUUUCUAAUUGUUCUUUAUUUUGAUGUAACUAUUGUAAAACAUUUGUAAUAAGCGUAUUAUUACACUAGUAAUCAAAUGAGACAUUAAAGAUUUACGUAAUCA